AAGAAUAUGUUCUAAUAAUAUACUUUCAUAAUUUAUUCGUUAUAAAAUCAUAGAUAGCUAGCGACGAAAGUGAUUUUGACUCUGAAGAUACUAGUGGUAUAACAUCUGAUGGUUUGGAAUAAGAGUUACGCUAUAAUUAAUAACAGUUUGGCAGAAUAAUAUUCAAACUGAGAAAUAAUGUUUUCAUAUAUUUUUAAUUAUCAAAAUAACUAUGUAUUAUCAAUAUAUUAUAGUGUAUUUAUAAUCUUAUUUGUUUAGAACAUUGCACUCGAAAUUUCUUAUGCUGUGUAGUAAAUCGUAUCGAAAACGCAAGAUGAAAAUGCUACAAAAUUUAAAGUAGAAGGAAAUCGCAAAUGCAAAAGAUUUAUCAAAGUGAAAGAUUCAUUAAAAUCAUAUUUAACUGAUUUAAUUACGAUCUUAUAAAAUGUUUCAUCAGCUAACAUGCAAACGAUACUUUUAAAACAUUUACAUGAAAUGUUUUCUCAUUAAAGAAACCAUUAUUGAGAGUCUUAUUAAAAUUUUGGUCAACUGAUGAAGAAACUGUUCGAGUUGUUGCAUUUUUAUAUACAUUACGUAUUGCAGCUAUUCAUAGGGUAUCUUUACUUGAAAUAUUAUUAAAGUCGAUCUCCUACGUCAAGUAUGUAAAAAAUUUCAAAUAUGUAUCGCCGAAUACUUCGCCAGAAAUAAAUUUUAUGAGGCAUUCUUUAACAGAGAUUUAUUUUGAUUUUGCGUACAGUCAUGCCUUUUUAUAUAUCUGACAGCUUGCUAUUCAUUUAAGGAAUGCAGUAACUUUGAAGAAAAAGGCAGUAUAUAAUUGGAGGCAUAUAAAUUUAUUAUUCUUCUGAUCCAAGUCAAUAUCACUCUCAAAAAAACAACUAAUGUUACACUCUUUGUUAUAUCCUUUAGUACAGAUAUUAUCAUCUUAUGAUUUUAAUAAAAAGCAUAAAGCUGUACCAAUGAAACCAAUAUCUUUAAAUUGUAUAUUAAAAAUAUCUAAAGAUAGUAUAAUUGAUGGUCUCUACCGAUUAAUAUUAGAAAUAGCAGCAAAGGAUGGCCAUUUAAUGUUUCCCCGAUUUUUAUGUUCCUUGUAUAAUAUAAUUGAAAGUAUUUUUCAAAAACUCGAAAAAAUGUCGCAAAUUAUUGUAAGAAAGUAAAGUAAUCAAUAGGAAAAAAAAAAAAAAAAA